rnacentral:rRNA from 1 species
GUAAAUGGGUGACAGGAGGCAGGGUGAGGACGUAGGUGGAAGUGUGUGUAGGUGAGUAUUGGGCGUAAAGCGCGCGCAGUGGGUGUGUUAAGUCUGAGGAGAAAGACCACGGCUCAACCGUGGGGGGGCAUUGGAAACUGGAAAACUUGAGGACAGAAGAGGAAAGUGGAAUGCCAUGUGUAGCGGUGAAAUGCGCAGAGAUAUGGAGGAACACCAGUGGCGAAGGCGACUUUCUGGUCUGUAACUGACGCUGAUGUGCGAAAGCGUGGGGAUCAAACAGGAUUAGAUACCCCAGUAGUC